UGGGGAAUAUUGCACAAUGGGGGAAACCCUGAUGCAGCGACGCCGCGUGGGUGAAGAAGUAUUUCGGUAUGUAAAGCCCUAUCAGCAGGGGAAGAAAAUGACGGUACCUGAUCAAGAAGCCCUGGCUAACUACGUGCC
rnacentral:rRNA from 1 species